CAGCCGCCGCGGGAAUACAGAGGGUGCGAGCGUUAAUCGGAUUUACUGGGCGUAAAGCGUGCGUAGGCGGCUAAUUGAGUCGGAUGUGAAAUCCCCGAGCUUAACUUGGGAAUUGCAUUCGAUACUGGUUAGCUAGAGUGUGGGAGAGGAUGGUAGAAUUCCAGGUGUAGCGGUGAAAUGCGUAGAGAUCUGGAGGAAUACCGAUGGCGAAGGCAGCCAUCCGGCCUAACACUGACGCUGAGGUACGAAAGCAUGGGGAGCAAACAGGAUUAGAUACCCCCGUAGUCCCUGUCUCUUAUAC
rnacentral:rRNA from 1 species